UUUCUAUGGAUUAAAUUUGAAAAGAAAAUACUAUGUGAAAUUUGCCCAAAACUGGACAAAUAACAAAAAAGAAAAAAUUUCAGCGCAGUGGGGCUUAAAACCGGCCCAUGGCCUGCCGCGCCGCGCGAGCCAACCACAGCCCAACACGAGGCAGCGCUCAUCUCCUCUUUCGGCCCGAUAGGCCCAGCGCCAAACUAGGUUUUCAAUCGUGGCCGUCAAGUCCGAUCGGACGAUCCAGCGUGCAUCUCGCUGGAUCAAAACGAAGCGACCUGUCGCCCCGAUCAAACCCUAGCGUAUUCCUCUCCCAGCACGCGCCGCUCGCCUCUCCGCUCAUGGCCACGCCGGCGGCAGGGUCAGGCCUCGCCGGCCGCCGGCGACCGCGUUGGGCCACCGCGUCGCGCGAGCCGCGCUGGCCCCCUUUCUGCUUCCCUUUCCUCUCAGCGACGGCGUCGAGCUGGCCGGCGAUGGCGUCGAGCUGGCCGGCGAUGUAAGACGGCGCCCCCGCUGACCCCCUUGCCGGCGUGCGCGAGCACCUCGAGGGUGAACGCGCCGCCGUCAAACGGCUUGGUGGUGGUGCCCUUUGCCCCGUGUGGGGUUGGUUCUUCGUCCCCGCACCUCGGCUUGCCGAUGCGUGUGGGGAUCAAGAGGAACAGGCGCGGCCGAGUGGCGGCGCACUUUGCCGGCGGCCCAAGGCCUUCUCCGGUGUACUUUUCUGUUCUUUUGUUUGCUUUUCUCUGCCCUGUUAGGGUUCUUUGGGGAGGGGAGGUUUUCUGUUGCUACCAAAAAUCCACAACGCCAACCUGGGCUGAUACCAUUGAUAGUGUCUAUUGAUCCAGUGGGCAUGGGGAUUCCGGUAGUGGCGAUAGGUAUUACCUUUCCUUGUGGCUCGAGGAGCCACCGGUGCCGGGCAUGGCGACAGUGGCCGGUGAUGGCAGAGAUUAGUGGGCGAAGUGGUGACGGUGCUUCCCAUCAGCACUGCACUAACCCUAGAUCGGUAGGGGAUUAGGUGGGGUGUACGGCGCUGCGACAAACCUCGUGAAGCGAGCCGCCGGCCCCCACCUUUUUAUAUAAUGCAGGUGACAGGGGCCGUCACCCAUAGUGGGUUGAGCACCCCCGAUCAGGGCGCGGAUCUAAGGGCCCGGUGGGCUGUUGGGCCCACAUGGUGGAGAUCAUCCUAACAGAGAGAACUCAUAAGAAAAGGUUUGUCUUCUUAUUUAAGAGAAGACAAGAGAUGAUCUCUUAGCACAAUAUGUCUUACCAUGUUUUUAGGCAUAACUAGUUGUUCAAGAUAAGGCUAAGACAUGACUCAUUGUAGA